AGCGAACGCUGGCGGCAGGCCUAACACAUGCAAGUCGAACGAACUCUUCGGAGUUAGUGGCGGACGGGUGAGUAACACGUGGGAACGUGCCUUUUGGUUCGGAAUAACCCAGGGAAACUUGUGCUAAUACCGAAUGUGCCCUUCGGGGGAAAGAUUUAUCGCCAUUAGAGCGGCCCGCGUCUGAUUAGCUAGUUGGUGAGGUAACGGCUCACCAAGGCGACGAUCAGUAGCUGGUCUGAGAGGAUGACCAGCCACACUGGGACUGAGACACGGCCCAGACUCCUACGGGAGGCAGCAGUGGGGAAUCUUGCGCAAUGGGCGAAAGCCUGACGCAGCCAUGCCGCGUGAAUGAUGAAGGUCUUAGGAUUGUAAAAUUCUUUCACCGGGGACGAUAAUGACGGUACCCGGAGAAGAGGCCCCGGCUAACUUCGUG
rnacentral:rRNA from 1 species